rnacentral:tRNA from 1 species
GCUCCUGUAGUCUAGCCUGGUCAAGGACUUCAGCCUCUCAAGCUGGAAACCCGGGUUCAAAUCCCGGCAGGAGCA